rnacentral:rRNA from 1 species
CACGUAGGGUGCGAGCGUUGUCCGGAAUUAUUGGGCGUAAAGAGCUCGUAGGCGGUGUGUCGCGUCGGCCGUGAAAACCUGCAGCUUAACUGUGGGCGUGAGGUCGAUACGGGCACCACUGGAGUUCGGCAGGGGAGACUGGAAUUCCUGGUGUAGCGGUGAAAUGCGCAGAUAUCAGGAGGAACACCGGUGGCGAAGGCGGGUCUCUGGGCCGAUACUGACGCUGAGGAGCGAAAGCGUGGGGAGCGAACAGG